GGAUGACCAUCAAACUGAGGUCGACCGAGAAGGGACACGCUGAACAGGGCGAACUGCAGGCUGAAAAAGGACAGGGCCACCACAAGAUCAUCACAGCGAUGGAGGCCCGGGGCACCCUGCUCUACACGGGCGGGUACGACAACACAGUGAAGAUCUGGGACGUGCCGUCGAAAAAGCUGAUCGCCAGCGGAACCACCGUCAGCAGCUCGGUACAGUCUCUGACUGUUGGAGAUGACGGCAGCAUCUACGCCGGCCUCAUGGGCGGCUAUGUCAUCAAAAUGCAGAAGCAGUAGCGGAACGUCUGAUGACUCCGCUGAAGAGGUGCUGGCCGAAGGAAGUCACGAGAUCUUGUCACACUGAUCUGACUCGCGAGGGUCGAUGAACAUGAAAGAGAAGUUGAGCUGAGAGAGACUCAGAGAGACUGAGGUUCUUGAGUUCGGAUGGAGGAUUUGGAGUCUCAAGAGAGUAGGCGAAUUUGAUGCGAGCUUGCACUUCUCUAAACGUAUAGAGAGAUGAGGUCAGCUUGCCAAGUGUGUUCUUGUGAUUUGUUCUUUUUAAGACUGUCCAUUUGGAGACUGUUUUGGUCUGUGCACACUGGGCGUUUGGAAACACUCGUCUGAAAUCGUUUUCAGCGCCAGGGAAUUUUUAUACACGGAAGGGCGUAUAUGAUAAACUACCAGUAACUUUCAGCAUUGUUGUCCCAGUGCACAAUCCAACAACCCGAAUGCAUCUAGAGUGUUUGUGUGUUUAUGUUUGUGUGUGACCUUAUGUUAGCGUGUUUUGAUGGAGUUUUGCCCGUUCGGUGCCGGUCGUUUGGUAGCAUUGUGCAUUAUGAAUCCUUGCGGUACCCGUUUUAUUCGUGUUUUUAUUGCAGUAGUGACGCUUGUCAAAUAUAUCGCUUUUUGUGUG